CUAGCAUUGAUAUAGCUGGCUCCCACAUACUUGCCUUGGAAAGUCAUCUUAAACAAAUCCCACGUCAGACUGUCAGGCUGCGUGCCAUCCCUAACCGUCAGCCACCACUGAUAUGCUUCAUCGCGAAGCAAUGAAAUAUCCCCCUUGAGCUUUUGCUCGGCGAUGAACUCAAGAUCAUCCAUAAUACGCUCUGUGGCCUCCAUCCAGUACUCAACCACUUUAGGAGCAACUCCAGCGAUGCCCCUAAAUAC
rnacentral:lncRNA from 1 species